UUUAAAAUUGACAAAUAGAGAUUGAGUAGAUAUUAAAACUUCUAAAGAAUGAAGACGCAUUUAGGAGAGAAUUCAAUGAAUGUAAAAGAAUUAUCUAAUUUACUCUCUUACUUAAAAAGCAAGGAUGCGUUUUAUUACCAUCAUUUUAGCCUUGGUAAUAUUUUGUACUUUGCUUUCUCUGCACGCGGAAGCUGCCAACAGUGAAACAGGUUUAAUUCGCCUCAAAAGAGAAUCAGCAUGGCUUGCAGUGGGACGAACUAUGCAAGAUCUAUUGCAGAUAUUUUUGACGUUACUUGUGUACAUACCACUGACACUUCUUUUUAAUUUCGUUGAGAGACGAUUUGAUCCCGUUGGAAUUUUUGCUUUAUGAAAUAAUCAUAAAUCCAUUAUAAUGUGACUUCGAAAUAAGCGUUUUGCCAUCAUCAUAUGAGUCAUAGCAAUCACAUGCAGUUUGUAUUUAAUUUACAUCGAAGCAGCUGACAAUGAAACAAGUACAGAUCAUCCUAUAGAGGCGCCUAUAUAUGAAAGAAGUGAGGAACGUAGAAAAGAAGCUCUUCAUUCCCACACAGUUACAAUUUUUAUUGAUGCUUGGAUUAGUUCAAACGUCGAGCAGAAUUUCUUUCUCAUUUGUUUACAUCUCUGUCUUAACUUAUACAGAUUCGUUUGGAUUUUUCACGAGAGACUGUUAUGUUUUGUGAAUUUGAAAUUAAACUCCAGCAAUUAAGAAAUAUUUAUGAUGCAACCUUUGUGAUUGAUGUUGUUGUUGUUUCUAAGGACGCUUGGACAAGCUAAGAUCGCCAGCCACUGAUCUUUUGCGAAUUAAGUCAGGAAGAUAUAUAUGCCUCUUGUUUUACAAGAGAGCACCACGUGGGUGAAAGUGCGUCUUAGUUCAGGGUCCCACGAAUAGAUGGCAGCACUACUCCUUCAUGAUACCACUUCUUUCAUUUAGGGUAAUGACAUCUGAAGGGUAAUGACAUUUUCUCCAGAUUCCUGUACCUAUGAUCUCAACGGCCGACCACAGGGUUUUCAAGUUCACAGAUUUUACGAGCACGCUUAUCGCACGCACUCGGUGGGUCUUAGCGGAGUCAAAGAUGUAACCCCGGCUGUCCCGAACCGAAGUCUAAUUCUCUAACCACUGGGCUACCAAGGCUCUUUUGUGAUUGGUGUAUUUUAAAUGUGUAUAAAUUGUAUGAAAUUUUUUUUUUCAAAAUAGUUAUGCUUUAUUAACUAAAAUACUAUUUAUGUAUGCUUGGCUUUUUAUUAAACCAAAAAAAAAGCCAAAAAAAUUUCAAAUUAAAGAGGUUGAUGCUGUACAGUGAUCAGCUAGGCCAUACUUUUCAAAAGUGGCAUUUUUA